rnacentral:rRNA from 1 species
GACGAACGCUGGCGGCGUGCUUAACACAUGCAAGUCGAACAGAAAGGCCCUGCUUUUGUGGGGUGCUCGAGUGGCGAACGGGUGAGUAACACGUGAGUAACCUGCCCUUGACUUUGGGAUAACUUCAGGAAACUGGGGCUAAUACCGGAUAGGAGCUCCUGCUGCAUGGUGGGGGUUGGAAAGUUUCGGCGGUUGGGGAUGGACUCGCGGCUUAUCAGCUUGUUGGUGGGGUAGUGGCUUACCAAGGCUUUGACGGGUAGCCGGCCUGAGAGGGUGACCGGCCACAUUGGGACUGAGGUACGCCCCAGACUCCUACGGGAGGCAGCAGUGGGGAAUAUUGCACAAUGGGCGGAAGCCUGAUGCAGCAACGCCGCGUGCGGGAUGACGGCCUUCGGGUUGUAAACCGCUUUCGCCUGUGACGAAGCGUGAGUGACGGUAAUGGGUAAAGAAGCACCGGCUAACUACGUG